rnacentral:tRNA from 1 species
UGGGGUGUGGCCAAGUGGUAAGGCAGCGGCCUUUGGAGCCGCGAUCGCAGGUUCGAAUCCUGCCACCCCAA